GUCCAAACCCUAGGAUUCAAAAAAAUCAGAAAUGAAGAAUUAGAAAAAAAACCCACCUAGCAAAACCCCGGUGCUCGUUCCUCCACCACACUACAAUGUCCGCCGCCAGAUGUUUCCUUCGCUCCGCCGCUUCUCGCGUAGGAAGUAAGGCGAAUCUAGCCGCCGGAGCUAAAACCAGAACUUCACAAUCAACGUUCCGGAUCCCAAAGCAAAAUUCAACUCCUAAUCGCAUUUCCAGAUUGCCGGUGGAGAUGAGUUGCGGUGUGCAAUCGUUGCUUCCUUAUCACACUGCAACAGCUUCCGCGUUGCUCACUUCAAUGCUUUCGGUUUCUCGUCACUCCUACGGUUGGACUCCCGAAGAUUGCAAUGAUGAUGUAUGAUGAAUGACAAGCGGUUCGUGCAAAGUUUUAUAUAGGCUCGUGAACAUUUGCACUUUGGCUUUAGGCUUGGGGACUACCCAUAUGGAUGAUUGCUGUUAUUGGGUGCUGUUCAUUGCGCAUACUUUCCAUGGAUUUCAGUUUACUUUGUUAGGACUUCUUAGAGGAUUUUCUCAUAAGUAGAAUGUGAAAACUUCAAGAAUUAAGUUGUACAAGCAUUCAGAGCUGGUAACAUGCUUAGGUAUGAUUGUUAUUUUUGUUCAAUCAGCACUGCAACAUUUGUUUGCCUGCAAAAUAGAAGAUUUAUUUCACCCUGAUAUUGGAAAAGGUUUAAUGUCUGGGUUUUGGCCAUGAUACGCUGGUUUUCCAA